rnacentral:rRNA from 1 species
AGCAGCCGCGGUAAUUCCAGCUCCAAUAGCGUAUAUUAAAGUUGUUGCAGUUAAAAAGCUCGUAGUUGAAUUUCGGGAUCAAUAUUUCGGUCAUGCCGUUGGUAUGCACUGUUAUCAUUGAUUUCUCACCUUCUAAAGAACCGUAAUGCCAUUAAUUUGGUGUUACAGGGAAUUAGGACUGUUACCUUGAAAAAUUAGAGUGUUUAAAGCAGGCUCACGCUUGAAUACAUUAGCAUGGAAUAAUGAAAUAGGACGUUCGAUCCUAUUUUGUUGGUUUCUAGGAUUGACGUAAUGAUUAAUAGGGAUAGUUGGGGGCAUUAGUAUUCAAUUGUCAGAGGUGAAAUUCUUGGAUUUAUUGAAGACUAACUACUGCGAAAGCAUUUGCCAGGGAUGUUUUCAUUAAUCAAGAACGAAAGUUAGGGGAUCGAAGACGAUCAGAUACCGUCGUAGUCUUAACCAUAAACUAUGCCGACUAGGGAUCGGAUGAUGUUAAUUUUUAAUGUACUCA